ensembl:lncRNA SNHG12 small nucleolar RNA host gene 12
AUUCCCGGUGUCGACUUACUAGCUGCAAGCCUCUGCCUGCCUUCCUGCGCGCCGUUCCCCGCUAGUCGCUGCUGCUGGCGCGCACUCGCCGGGUUUUUCCUCCCACGGCCUCGAGAUGGUGGUGAAUGUGGCACGGAGGAGCCGGGCCUUCCAACCCGGUGGGCCCGAGCUCCGAAAGGCCCCCUCGGCAGUGAGAGGGGCGGGAGCCCGCGGGGGCCGCGCCCUUCUCUCGCUUCGGACUGCGCAACGCUGCGCUCUGGGCUGACAGGCGGAUAAAACGGUCCCAUCAAGACUGAGAAAAAGCACACCAGCUAUUGGCACAGCGUGGGCAGUGGGGCCUACAGGAUGACUGACUUAGUCUACAGAGAUCCCGGCGUACUUAAGCAGAUGAAGACUCUUAAGAUGACAGAAGGUGAUUUUUCUGGUGAUCGAGGACUUCCGGGGUAAUGACAGUGAUGAAAUGCAGGGGACCUGGUAGGUUUCUUUUGGAGACUAACUGGGGGCUGCCUGGUGGGACAGAACAGCAUGUUUCCAAGGGCUGUGGCUGGUCAUAGCCAUGGGAUCUCCAACUGCAUGCAAGAGCAACCUGGAAAGACUUUGACAGCGCAGGUCAGUACAAUACCUGCAAGCUGCCACUCAGCUUUCCUAUAAUGUUUCAGGACCAGGGCUGGAAGCCUUCCAUGUGUCAACUUCAAUGUAGAUGGGUUUUUUUUUUUUUUUUUUUUUGAGACGGAGUCUUGCUCUGUCACCCAGGCUGCUGGAGUGCAGUGGCAUGAUCUCGGCUCAUGGCAACCUCUGCCUCCUGGGUUCAAGCGACUCUCCUACCUCAUCCUCCCGAGUAGCUGGGAUUACAGGUGCCCACCAUCACACCCAGCUAAUUUUCUUGUAUUUUUAGUAGAGAUGGUUUUCACCAUGUUGGCUAGAUGGGUCUCGAACUUCUGACCUCGGGUGAUCCGCCCGACUCGGCCUCCCCUUCCAAAGUGCUGGGAUUACAGGCAUGAGCCACCGCUCCUGGCCAGUUUAGUUUUCACGCUAAGCUUUUUGUUCUGCAGGUUGCCCCCAAGUUUCCUGGCAGUGUGUGAUACUGAGGAGGUGAGCUUGUUUCUGGAGCUGUGCUUUAAGGUAAAGUUGAUCAGCUUAAUCCUCCUGAUCCCUUUCCCAUCGGAUCUGAACACUGGUCUUGGUGGUCGUAAAAGGAGGAAAAGUAAUAGUGAAGCUGGCCUAAAUGUUGUAAUCUGGUAUAUGGCAUGUGGGCUAGUUUCAGACAGGUUUCAGAGAUGGUUGGAUCUCUGAAAUUGUAAAAUGAAGUAUAAUCUUAGGCUAAGGGAAGGAUGCGUGUGAAGCUCUGGAGGUUGGUAUAGUAAUAGCUGACCUAUUACUGCAUUUGGGAGGGAUCUGUCAUAGCUUCCUUGCCUCUUAAUUAAGGGUGGUGUUUUUUUCUUUUAGAUUCAUGUUACAUGUAAAGCUGUCCUCAUUUGUGACUAUGGACCUAUGGAGUUGGGACAAUCUCUAUGGGAAGCAGAAGGCAAGGACCCCGGUCAUUUUAGGUAGAAACAACAGCAUGCUAAUGCAAAAAAUUAUGCAGUGUGCUACUGAACUUCAGAGGUGAUCAAUAAAAGAAGAAUAAAAAGACUAAUAAAAGUA